rnacentral:rRNA from 1 species
AUUGAACGCUGGCGGCAGGCCUAACACAUGCAAGUCGAACGAGUGGCGGACGGGUGAGUAAUGUCUGGGAAACUGCCCGAUGGAGGGGGAUAACUACUGGAAACGGUAGCUAAUACCGCAUACCAUCGGAUGUGCCCAGAGGGGAUUAGCUAGUCGGGGGGGUCACGGCUCACCUAGGCGACGAUCCCUAGCUGGUCUGAGCGGAUGACCAGCAACACUGGAACUGAGACACGGUCCAGACUCCUACGGGAGGCAGCAGUGGGGAAUAUUGCACAAGGGGCGCAAGCCUGAUGCAGCAAUGCCGCGUGUAUGAAGAAGGCCUUCGGGUUGUAAAGUACUUUCAGCGAGGAGGCGGUACUCAAAGAAGAAGCACCGGCUAACUACGUGCCAGCAGCCGCGGUAAUUC